UGUAAAAUUUUAGAUACCCUGUUAUCAAAUUGUUUGCACAGUACAAUCUCCUCCUUCAAUCUACAAUGGAAAUGUAAUCAUUGACAGCAUUUGGCCCCUUUAAGUAAUUCUCUCAUUUUGGAAAAAAAAAAAUCACAGAAGUUAACUUAGCACACUUUUUCUAAGCCAAAUAUUACUGAACAUUAGCAGCAGGUAGCUAUUCUAUUCUGAGGGCAAUAUUAUCAAAGUAAUGAUUUUUAGCAUCAAAGUUUCAUUGAGUGAAGCUGAAAGAUUAUUAUCCUCCUGAUGGUGUGCUUGUCUACCAAUCAUAUUUGUUAUGGAUUCAUUAUUAUUUCAUAUAGAGAUUUUCCAUUGUCACCAUGCCAAAAUUGAAAAAGACACUGAACAUCUCAAUCUAGCACUUGGAAAAUUCCUUAAGGUUUAAAAUUCCUCCAGUCUAGUGCUCUCUCAGCUUCUGCAGAACAGAAGCAGUCUCAGACAUAUGGGUUCAUGUUUUAAAUUCCCUGUCAUAGUGUGGCUCUGCAGUGAAAGCAUGGGUCUUGUGGUUAAACUAAAAGAGGAAACAAGCAUCUUUUAUCUAGGGUAGUUCUUGGAGCUGCCUCUUCAAGGUCAACACUUAGAUCUUUCACCAACAUUAUGUUGAACUGUUAUGCUUAUCCAAUGUCCAAGACUCUAGGCAAUUGUCUUUUACGUAGAAUGGACAGAGAUCUUGUAAUUUCUUGUGUAACUAUUUGAUUUUGAGGGUUCAAAUGACCCAAUUAAAUUUCACUGGGAAAGAAGCACAUUAUUUCUCUGGUGCAGUCUGCCUUUGGACAGAAUGUUAAGUAGCACAGCUAUGUCGAAACUGGUUUUACAUAAUAAGUCUGUGCUUCAGUACCCUGAAUUCAUCUUGUUGAGUAGCUGGGAAGUUUUAUGAAAGAUAUAGCCUGAAUAGCUCAGUAACUCAACUGAAAGACAGAAAGAAAUGUGACUUGGCGAAAACAAAAGAAAGAGCUUCUAGGAUCUGAUGACUCAAAGCAAUACUCUAAGGUGAGCAUCUCAUCAUCCAGCAUUGGGACUGACUGGCUUCGAGACAUACUGGACAUACCAUGCUCUGGUCCCAGCAUCUUAUCCGGUCGUUCGUGGCUUCCUAAGUGAUCACUCCCAGAAGCAUAGUUUUCUAAUGGGGGGAAAGCCUCUCUGUGCUUUUGCUAAUUGAAAUAACACCUUUAGAAGAUUCCGGGCGGCAGUGGAUUUGAGAAAAG
rnacentral:lncRNA from 1 species